rnacentral:rRNA from 1 species
CAGCCGUAAACUAUGCGCGUUAGGUGUACUGGUGACCACGAGUCACCGGGGUGCCGAAGGGAAACCGUGAAACGUGCCGCCUGGGAAGUACGGUCGCAAGGCUGAAACUUAAAGGAGUUGGCGGGGAGCACCACAACGGGUGGAGCCUGCGGUUUAAAUUUGGACUCAACGCCGGAAAUCUCACCGGAUAGGACAGACAUAUGAUAGUCGGGCUGAAGACUCUACUUGAUGAUCUGAGAGGUGGUGCAUGGCGUAGUCGUGU